UACGGGGGGGGCAAGCGUUGUUCGGAAUUACUGGGCGUAAAGGGCUCGCAGGCGGCUUACUAAGUCAGACGUGAAAUCCCUCGGCUUAACCGGGGAACUGCGUCUGAUACUGGACGGCUUGAGUAUGGGAGAGGAACGUAGAAUUCCAGGUGUAGCGGUGAAAUGCGUAGAUAUCUGGAGGAAUACCGAUGGCGAAGGCGGCGUUCUGGGCCAUGACUGACACUGAAGCGCGAAAGCGAGGGGAGCAAACGGG
rnacentral:rRNA from 1 species